UGCGAGUCUUUGUAGUAAUACAAGGCAGACGGCUCAGUAACACGUAGUCAACCUACCCUAUGGACAAGAAUAAUCUCGGGAAACUGGGCAUAAUUCUUGAUAGAUCAUAAUGCCUGGAAUGGUUUAUGGUUAAAAUGAUUCGUCGCCAUAGGAUGGGACUGCGGCCUAUCAGCUUGUUGGUGAGGUAAUGGCCCACCAAGGCGAUUACAGGUACGGGCUCUGAGAGGAGAAGCCCGGAGAUGGGUACUGAGACACGGACCCAGGCCCUAUGGGGCGCAGCAGGCGAGAAAACUUUGCAAUGUGCGAAAGCACGACAAGGUUAAUCCGAGUGAUUUCUGCUAAAGAAAUCUUUUGCCAGUCAUAAAACCACUGGUGAAUAAGGGGUGGGCAAGUUCUGGUGUCAGCCGCCGCGGUAAAACCAGCACCUCAAGUGGUCAGGAUGAUUAUUGGGCCUAAAGCAUCCGUAGCCGGCUUUGUAAGUUUUCGGUUAAAUCCAUGUGCUCAACGCAUGGGCUGCCGAAAAUACUGCAUGGCUAGGGAGUGGGAGAGGUAGACGGUACUCAGUAGGAAGGGGUAAAAUCCUUUGAUCUAUUGAUGACCACCUGUGGCGAAGGCGGUCUACCAGAACACGUUCGACGGUGAGGGAUGAAAGCUGGGGGAGCAAACCGGAUUAGAUACCCGGGUAGUCCCAGCUGUAAACGAUGCAGACUCGAUGAUGCAUUGGCAUAAUAGCCAGUGCAGUGUCGCAGGGAAGCCGUUAAGUCUGCCGCCUGGGAAGUACGUACGCAAGUAUGAAACUUAAAGGAAUUGG
rnacentral:rRNA from 1 species